AUUGAACGCUGGCGGCAGGCCUAACACAUGCAAGUCGAGCGGAUGAAGGGAGCUUGCUCCUGGAUUCAGCGGCGGACGGGCGAGUAAUGCCUAGGAAUCUGCCUGGUAUUGGGGGAUAACGUCCGGAAACGGGCGCUAAUAUCGCAUACGUCCUGAGGGAGAAAGUGGGGGAUCUUCGGACCUCACGCUAUCAGAUGAGCCUAGGUCGGAUUAGCUAGUUGGUUGGGUAAAGGCCUACCAAGGCGACGAUCCGUAACUGGUCUGAGAGGAUGAUCAGUCACACUGGAACUGAGACACGGUCCAGACUCCUACGGGAGGCAGCAGUGGGGAAUAUUGGACAAUGGGCGAAAGCCUGAUCCAGCCAUGCCGCGUGUGUGAAGAAGGUCUUCGGAUUGUAAAGCACUUUAAGUUGGGAGGAAGGGCAGUAAGUUAAAACCUUGCUGUUUUGACGUUACCAACAGAAAAAGCACCGGCUAACUUCGUG
rnacentral:rRNA from 1 species